rnacentral:rRNA from 1 species
UACGAAGGGGGCUAGCGUUGCUCGGAAUCCCUGGGCGUAAAGGGUGCGUAGGCGGGUCUUUAAGUCAGGGGUGAAAUCCUGGAGCUCAACUCCAGAACUGCCUUUGAUACUGAGGAUCUUGAGUUCGGGAGAGGUGAGUGGAACUGCGAGUGUAGAGGUGAAAUUCGUAGAUAUUAGGAAGAACACCAGUGGCGAAGGCGGCUCACUGGUCCGGUACUGACGCUGAGGUGCGAAAGCGUGGGGAGCAAACAGG